rnacentral:rRNA from 1 species
UACGUAGGGUGCGAGCGUUGUCCGGAAUUAUUGGGCGUAAAGAGCUUGUAGGCGGUUUGUCGCGUCUGCCGUGAAAGUCCGGGGCUCAACUCCGGAUCUGCGGUGGGUACGGGCAGAAUAGAGUGAUGUAGGGGAGACUGGAAUUCCUGGUGUAGCGGUGAAAUGCGCAGAUAUCAGGAGGAACACCGAUGGCGAAGGCAGGUCUCUGGGCAUUAACUGACGCUGAGGAGCGAAAGCAUGGGGAGCGAACAGG